UCAACUGAAUUUCCUCUGCUAACUGGCAGGAUUUCUCUGCCUACUAAGAAAGCAAUUUGUUACAAAUAUCUGGUUUUGUUUCUCGCGUACCAACAGUCAAUGGACAUCUUACAUGACAUAGGACUAGUCUCGAGAAACAGUCAAUGGACAUCUUACAGACAUAGGACUAGUCUCGAGAAACAAGGGACGAAUACUACCUUGCACCGCUUGAUUUCAUAUUGUCUCACUACAUAUGAGGAAAUAAUGGUGUCUUGCUAAAACUGCUGCAGGGAGAUUCUGGAAAGGUAUUUAUUCGCAAAAGAAAAAAUUACGGAAUAUAAUUUUCCAGCUGAGGCUUCCGCAAGUUAUUCCGCAAUUGCUAUUGCUGAAACAUCUGCGAUAAUAAGAAAAGUAAUGUCAGGGAACUUGUAAACUCAAUUGCUUUUGCUGAAACAUCUGCGAUAAUAAGAAAAGUAAUGUCAGGGAACUUAACGUAAACUCUAUUGUUUUAACGUAAACUCUAUUGUUUGGCAGGGAACAACAUGGAUUUUAGUACAUCUACCUUUCUGCUGACUAACUUUUAACUAGGAAACACCCAACCGACAUAGCAGAUACCAGAGAACCCAAAAUGACAAAUGAACUUUCUGAAGCCACCCAUAAUGACAAUUGAACUUUCUGAAGCCUUUGUAUUUCAUUUAAAUACAGUUACAGCGUUUAACAAAUUAAGAAUCGUGGUUUUCUAGAUAACCCAGUUUUAGAUUACUCAGGCUGUAAUAAUCAUAAGUUGACAAGCAGUUUCUAGAUGAUACAGUUACAUGCUGUAACAAUUAUAUAUAACAAGCAGUUGACUUAUAUCAUAGGCUGAUGCCUGCAAUAAUGUCAUUCUAGCACAAUUCCAACACAAUCGGUAUCCUGUAGGUGUUUAUUAUUGUACUGAAAUUACAUGUUAGUUUAUUUUUGUCCUGAAAUUGCAUGCAACUCUUUGUACAAUGCAAAACUGUAUGCAUUGUAAAACUUCUGACCUUAAUUAUGUAUGACCGAAAGACUAAAGACCGAAAGUGAUAGGUAAACCUUUUUAUGUCUCGAAUCGUGUCAUUUUUUUAGAGUGCAGUUAAAAUGUUAUUAUUUAUCUUAGGCUGCUGCUGAUUUUUUAUGUUUGGGUACAAUAGAUAAUUCAAACGCAAAGAGGUAACACAUGAAAAAUAAUGUCAGCGUAUUUUUUUUUGUGUGUACUAGCAACAUCUAACUAAUUCUAUUUUCUUUAAUGGCAGGAAAUCCUCUGCUGAUUAACUAGAACCCAGGAUACAAGUUUCUGAAACCUGUAAUCAUAUAUAACACGCAAUUUAUCUUGGCUUUUAAGCUAGCCUAUCAAAAUGCAUUAUGACAAUUAUAAAAACAUUCUCCCCAUGUUCUAAUAUAGCAGUCAUAGUCUGUUGCAAAAAUGUAGGGAGUAUAUAUUAUGAAGCUGCUGUGCUUGCUGAGCAUUAUACCUCCAUCAGUGACCUCUGGCGAUUUCGCUUCUUCUUGGUGCCAUGAGCUUGGUUGUAGGCGUUCCUGGCCUGCUGCCGGCGAAUGAUGUGCUCUCUCUCCUGUCUAUCGAUGGAGUCGUGAAGCGCCUUGUGACGUGCCUGAUUGUCACGCCGCACAUCUCUGCAUCUCGGGCAAAACCAGGUGAUCACAGGGGCUGCCACAGGCCCUCCCUGGCCUGCAGCUACAGCUACAUCUGGGCCGUUGCCGUUGCCCCUCCCGCCAGGUCCGUGGCCNNNNNNNNNN
rnacentral:lncRNA from 1 species